UAGAUUCAUUGCGUGAAGAUUUUGAAGGU
rnacentral:piRNA from 1 species